GUUGGGUAGGGGAGCGUUCUGUAAGCCUGUGAAGGUGGCCUGUGAGGGUUGCUGGAGGUAUCAGAAGUGCGAAUGCUGACAUAAGUAACGAUAAAGCGGGUGAAAAGCCCGCUCGCCGGAAGACCAAGGGUUCCUGUCCAACGUUAAUCGGGGCAGGGUGAGUCGACCCCUAAGGCGAGGCCGAAAGGCGUAGUCGAUGGGAAACGGGUUAAUAUUCCCGUACUUGGUGUUACUGCGAAGGGGGGACGGAGAAGGCUAUGUUGGCCGGGCGACGGUUGUCCCGGUUUAAGCGUGUAGGUGUGUGUUCCAGGUAAAUCCGGUUCACUUUAACACUGAGGCGUGAUGACGAGGCACUACGGUGCUGAAGCAACAAAUGCCCUGCUUCCAGGAAAAGCCUCUAAGCAUCAGGUAACAUCAAAUCGUACCCCAAACCGACACAGGUGGUCAGGUAGAGAAUACCAAGGCGCUUGAGAGAACUCGGGUGAAGGAACUAGGCAAAAUGGUGCCGUAACUUCGGGAGAAGGCACGCUGACACGUAGGUGAAGUGAUUUACUCAUGGAGCUGAAGUCAGUCGAAGAUACCAGCUGGCUGCAACUGUUUAUUAAAAACACAGCACUGUGCAAACACGAAAGUGGACGUAUACGGUGUGACGCCUGCCCGGUGCCGGAAGGUUAAUUGAUGGGGUCAGCGCAAGCGAAGCUCCUGAUCGAAGCCCCGGUAAACGGCGGCCGUAACUAUAACGGUCCUAAGGUAGCGAAAUUCCUUGUCGGGUAAGUUCCGACCUGCACGAAUGGCGUAAUGAUGGCCAGGCUGUCUCCACCCGAGACUCAGUGAAAUUGAACUCGCUGUGAAGAUGCAGUGUACCCGCGGCAAGACGGAAAGACCCCGUGAACCUUUACUAUAGCUUGACACUGAACAUUGAGCCUUGAUGUGUAGGAUAGGUGGGAGGCUUUGAAGUGUGGACGCCAGUCUGCAUGGAGCCGGCCUUGAAAUACCACCCUUUAAUGUUUGAUGUUCUAACGUGGACCCGUGAUCCGGGUUGCGGACAGUGUCUGGUGGGUAGUUUGACUGGGGCGGUCUCCUCCUAAAGAGUAACGGAGGAGCACGAAGGUUGGCUAAUCCUGGUCGGACAUCAGGAGGUUAGUGCAAUGGCAUAAGCCAGCUUGACUGCGAGCGUGACGGCGCGAGCAGGUGCGAAAGCAGGUCAUAGUGAUCCGGUGGUUCUGAAUGGAAGGGCCAUCGCUCAACGGAUAAAAGGUACUCCGGGGAUAACAGGCUGAUACCGCCCAAGAGUUCAUAUCGACGGCGGUGUUUGGCACCUCGAUGUCGGCUCAUCACAUCCUGGGGCUGAAGUAGGUCCCAAGGGUAUGGCUGUUCGCCAUUUAAAGUGGUACGCGAGCUGGGUUUAGAACGUCGUGAGACAGUUCGGUCCCUAUCUGCCGUGGGCGCUGGAGAACUGAGGGGGGCUGCUCCUAGUACGAGAGGACCGGAGUGGACGCAUCACUGGUGUUCGGGUUGUCAUGCCAAUGGCACUGCCCGGUAGCUAAAUGCGGAAGAGAUAAGUGCUGAAAGCAUCUAAGCACGAAACUUGCCCCGAGAUGAGUUCUCCCUGAGACUUUAGGUCUCCUGAAGGAACGUUGAAGACGACGACGUUGAUAGGCCGGGUGUGUAAGCGCAGCGAUGCGUUGAGCUAACCGGUACUAAUGAACCGUGAGGCUUAACCUUACA
rnacentral:rRNA from 1 species